rnacentral:rRNA from 1 species
AGAUUGAACGCUAGCGGCAUGCCUAACACAUGCAAGUCGAACGGUAACAGGCCCUUCGGGGUGCUGACGAGUGGCGGACGGGUGAGUAAUGCGUAGGAAUCUACCCACGAGUGGGGGAUAGGCCCGGAGAAAUCCGGAUUAAAUACCGCAUAUGCCCUACGGGGUAAAGCGGGGAUCGUAAGACCUCGCGGCUAGGUGGAUGAGCCUACGGUCCGAUUAGUUAGUUGGUGGGGUAAAGGCCCACCAAGGCUACGAUCGGUAGCUGGUCUGAGNGGACGACCAGCCACACUGGGACUGAGCACGGCCCAGACUCCUACGGAGGCAGCGAUCNCUAUA